UCGGACAUGGUGUACGGAACACCACCAGCUUUCUUAAAAUCUCCAGACAAUAAGUCGCUGGCAGUCCGGGGUUCGACUCCCCGUGUCCGAA